rnacentral:rRNA from 1 species
UACAGAGGGGGCAAGCGUUGUUCGGAAUUACUGGGCGUAAAGGGCGCGUAGGCGGCCUGUUAAGUCGAACGUGAAAUCCCCGGGCUCAACCCGGGAACUGCGUCCGAUACUGGCAGGCUUGAAUCCGGGAGAGGAAUGCGGAAUUCCAGGUGUAGCGGUGAAAUGCGUAGAUAUCUGGAGGAACACCAAUGGCGAAGGCAGCUCGCUGGGACGGUACUGACGCUGAGACGCGAAAGCGUGGGGAGCAAACAGG